rnacentral:rRNA from 1 species
AGAUUGAACGCUGGCGGCAGGCCUAACACAUGCAAGUCGAGCGGUAGAGAGGUGCUUGCAUCUCUUGAGAGCGGCGGACGGGUGAGUAAUGCCUAGGAAUCUGCCUAGUGGUGGGGGAUAACGUUCGGAAACGACGCUAAUACCGCAUACGUCCUACGGGAGAAAGCGGGGGACCUUCGGGCCUGCGCCAUUAGAUGAGCCUAGGUCGGAUUAGCUAGUUGGUGAGGUAAUGGCUCACCAAGGCGACGAUCCGUAACUGGUCUGAGAGGAUGGUCAGUCACACUGGAACUGAGACACGGUCCAAGACUCCGUACGGGAGGCAGGCAGGUGGGGAAUGGUUAGGACAAGUGGGACGAAAGGCCUGAUCCAGCCAUCGCCGCGUGU